rnacentral:rRNA from 1 species
UACGUAGGCAGCAAGCGUUUGUUUCGGAGUUACUGGGCGUAAAGGGUGCGUAGGCGCUUCUUAAGUCUGGUGUGAAAUCUCCCGGCUAACUGGGAGGGUGCGCCGGAUACUGAGGGGCUAGAGUGUGGGAGAGGAAAGUGGAAUUCCUGGUGUAGCGGUGAAAUGCGUAGAUAUCAGGAGGAACACCGGUGGUGUAAACGGCUUUCUGGACCAUUUACUUGA